rnacentral:lncRNA from 1 species
UUUUCUUCUCUUCUCCCCACCACCCAAACUGGCCAAUACAAGAACCUUCACACCCGCAUCUUCCCCCAAUAGCUCUCUCAAUUUGACCGCCAGUCCCCUUCACAACCAAGGCAGCAGAAGAGCCACCUCUGUGCCCUCCUCAUCCUGGAAGCAAAGGGGCAGAGAAAGCCUAGCUUCUUCCCCUUGGUAAGGGAGUGAUUUCAAGUUUUCUUUCGAUCUCUCUCCUUGAACUUGUUCCCAUGGAUGUUUUUCCCUGCUGGCCGUCGACUAGGUCCUCCAGGAGACGAAGCUUUCGGACAGCGUGGCGGCUGCAUCGUCGCUUGCCGUACGGAUCGGCAGCAGAGUUCUGAGCAGUAACUGAGUAGAUCGAGCUCCAUUUUUCCAAGUUCAGGAACCACAAGCUGCAAUUUCUCUCCCGACCUGUUUCCUUACCUGCAGCUCUGCUGGCUUUCUCCUUAUAAGCUAGGUGAGACACUGAAACAAUCAAAUCUCUCCCUGCUUUGGUUCUGUCCAGUACCUCUGAAUGUUCAUCUCCAGCCCCCACCAUUUUCUCUCUGCAAGCUGUUAGUAAGCAUGUAUGCAUGCAUCGAGCUGAUGAUGGGAAAAGUUGCCAACAUUGCUGCAUGCAUGUACACACACAUGCAUGUGUAGUGCUGCUCCUUUCUAGCUUAGAUCUGUAGUGUGUGUGCAUGUUUCAGUGUGUAUUUCUUUUCAUGCUCUCUUUUCUUUAUCCUUUUGAAUGUUUCUUCUAUGGAAAAAUCUGAUUGUACCCUUGUAUAAUAGUUUGUUUGUUGUUAAACUAGAAAUCAUGCCUAGGUCUAUCAAUGCUUGACAGUAAAAAUGGUUAACAUGUAAAGAUCCCUACAUUUUGGGCACACAUGUUAUACUCAGGUUCUCUAUCUCUCUCUUUACAAAAAUAUAUAUAUGCCUGUUGCUAUUUUCGAAAUAAAUCAGGAAUUUUGAAAAAAACUCAAGUUAACUUGCUUAAACUUGUGAAUUUUCUGAGUUAGUGCACAACCUAUUUGUAUCCUGGCACCAAGUAAUAUAAAAUCAACAUGCAAAUGUUCAGAAUUAGUGCAGAACCUGUUAUUAGCAUUUUUAUGCACUGCAUUAUUACCGGAAAGUUAGUUUUAACAAAGGGUACCAGAUUAACCCCUAUUUGAUUUAAUGUUCUAUUCCAGGCAGUACAUCUUUUGUUCUACAAAUCAAAACUUGGUGAAACAAACUGCAGUAAUAUUACAUUCCAUCUUUCUUUCAUCAUGCAUAUUUGCUGGUAUUUAUUUUCUCCUUAUUCCUUUCUUUUCCGGUGUUAUUCAAUGAUUUUGGUAGAUUUCGGAGAGGAAGGGACUGCUUCUUUUGAUCUUCAACAGGAGCAGGAGUUUACUGAACAAGGCAAGCAGAGCUUGUUGCAUUCAUUUACCAAUUCUAUUCAAGCAAUUAAUCACUUUUGCUGUUAGAAGCUGUUGUGUGUAUUUUUCUGUACAGAGUUUGGUAACUAGUAUGUUAGGAGUUGUUUGAUUCUGGACCAGCAGUAGCUGGCAUUAAAUGGAUGCUCUAAUCAACUUAAAUUUGAAAAGUAAGAGUGGCGUGGUAGCAUGUCGUGACAAACGGUGGCAAGUUGCUGGUUCCCCGAGCCAUACGUCGGGUAUCUAACUUGGUGCCUCGAACCAUACGUCGAGUAUCUAACAUUUUUGGAGGCCACCGGGUUGAUCACCGAGAUGCUACCAAUAACCCUAGGGACCUGUCGUGAGCACACUAGGAGUGCCUCCGGAUCAGUUUUUCCCUCUUGAGGACUUGCUACCCUCAUUUGGGAAAAACCUCCGGAACACCCGCUGGUGCUUGUAAACGACCGGCUCCUUCCUUAUGAAAAUUGUAAAUUGUUAACUUGAUUGCUUGUAAAUGUUCUUAGUAAUGUUGUCAUGCUGGACCUGAGGUUAUUUGUUAGAAAAAUGGGUCGAGGUAUCAUUAAUUAUCUCAUAUUUUCAAUACUCAUGGUCACAAGUAUUGCUGCCACCUUGAUACAAUGUUUAUGCUUCAGAAUUUUAUUACAUGCUCUGUUCUCAAUCAAGCGCAAUUAAGUCUUGCGAGUACAAUUGUACUCACCUAGGAUUUUCCUAGAUUUGCAGGUGACCCAAGCAUUGCAGACUUUUAUGAUAACGACGUUUAGUGGCUUAUCGCGGUUGGCUGAAUCUUGUGGGUUAUUUUUUGGGCUUUUGUGAGAUGGCUUGUGACUGCCAUCCUGGUUUCUUAUCUACCUUUCCGCUGCUGAAUUUUUAUGUACUAAGUUACUACUUGAGACCUUCAGGUCUUUUGGGCUGUAACCUACUGUUUGCUCUAUGUAUGACAGAUGUAACAUAUACCUUUAUUUUCUCUAUCUUGUAGAAGGCUUGUGUUGUGAUAUCCAAUGUUGUUUUCCAUACACAUCCUUCCACCAUGUAUAAUCUGCGUGUAUGUGAUCCUGGGGUGGUCGGAUGUGUAUGCGGGCGCUGG